GUGUGUGUGUGUAUAUCUGCAUGGUUUAUAAUUGUGUUCCUAUUUAGGGUUUGUAUCUGACCAUUAGCAAAUUUAUUAUAAAUGCAAAACAUUCAAUAAAAUUGAACUACCUUUUUCUUUGUUUCUUUUGAUAUUAACAAGUGUUAACAUGGAUGUUUUCAUUUUAUUUCUCAUAUUUUGGGGGGAGAAUUGGUAAAUUUUUCUGACAGCCUUUGGCCCACAACCUUUUAAAGGAAUGCUAACAUUUCCUGUCUUUCUAUGUGAAUGCCACCCAUUGGCUCACCCUUCCCCUCUCCCCUCCCCAGUGUUUUGGCUAUGGUCUACACCAUAUUAAUUUUCCCCAUCCCUUCUUCCAAAUUCCAUCCCUUUCCGGCUCUUCUUUGUCAGUGCAUACAUUUUCUUCUCUGUAAACACUAGGGUUUGUUUCAUUUUUUUAAUGUCUCCAGUGAUGUGCCCUGAUUUUGUUAGGAUUUUUGUACAGAGGAGGGGUACUAAAGUGAGUAUUAGAAGUUUGCCUUCUGCAUUUGUCAUUCAAUGUCCUGCAUUAGUUCUUCCAUGAUUUCUCUUCUCGAUACAAUACAGGCAGGCAUUACUUUUGUGUCUAAAGCUUACUAAUGAUAUAUUUCAAAGUUUUGCCAUUUUCAAGCUUCUGAAGUGUGACAUUUAUGUGUGCUCAGUUGUUUGUUUUAAAACCAAUUCCACUAUCAUGUAGUAAUUAAAUCCUUUUUCCAUGUGGUUUUGUUAAGACAUGAGUCACUUAGGUUUUUUGCUAACCAUAAGAAGUCACAUUACAGGGGUCUAUAUAUUCAUCAGCUGACAAAAGUGUGAAUUGAAUUAUCCAGGAAAUGAACCCUGCGUUUUCUGUAACACAGUGCUUCAUGAUGUUAUUUCAUUGUUCAUGUCUUCUUAGUACGUUUAACGUUUUACAAUAAUGAAGUUGACUCCACCUAGUUAGUAACUGCCGAAGAACUUAUUGGAGCUAAUAAAAAUAAUAUUCACCCUAAAUGUCUAAAAAGGUAAGGAACAUAUUUUAAAGUUAAACUUCAGAACUGUUAUUGUAGUCAUUUUUCUCAAUUAAGACAAUACAUUUAUCUUUUUAUCCUAUUUCCCUUUGGGAGAAUAGUCCCCUAACAAAAUGAGCUCUCAACCACAUUGAGUCGUGUGUGCAUAUGUGUGUGUGUGUGUGUGUGUGUGUGUGUGUGUUGAGUUAGUUAUUAAUUUAAAAGAUGAAUUUUGUGAAAACGUUUUUCUUGAUGUUUCAUUUCUAUGACAUUGACCUUAAACUUUCCAUUUUAUUUCUCUAAAGUACCUCAGGAAAGAAAUGUUAUGAAUAAACGUGAAGAAGAAAAGGAAAGAGAAGAGAUCAUGAGAAAGUCACAGGGGAUUCCUGUUUCAGGCAAGAAAUAACCUCCUCAAUAACUUUUAUUCACAUUCCAUUGGCAAGAGCUAAUUAUAUCGCCAAAUAAUGUGGCAGUGGAGAUAGAUAAUAUACUCUGGCCAGGACGGUGAUCUAAUGCAUCUCUCCUUUUAUCAGUUGUGGGUCAAAAGAAGCAGGAGCCAAGUACGUUGGGUGUCCUGUGACUAAAUGUUCCUGCAAGUACCAGCAAGAUGCAUGAAGCAAUUACUCUAGAAUGCUGCCUUUUUUUUUUCUUACAAGAAUACAAUCCUUAGAACUAUAGUAUCCUCCUUG